rnacentral:tRNA from 3 species
UCCGAAUUGGUGUAUCGGCUAGCAUUUCCGCCUUUCACGCGGGAGAGACGGGUUCGAUUCCCGUAUUCGGAA